AGUGAUUCAAAAUAUAACUGUGAGCAAUCAUACUAUUUUCUUGGAAACAAUAGGAGGAUAAAAUCAAAGAAAAAUCUCUUAAGAACAAUGAGUCACAAGACCUGUACAACCUAGUUAAGAUGAGCCAGUAUAUAUAGUACUUUCUCUACCUCAUAGAUCUAGUAGGAUCUCCUAUCUUUUAGAAAGAUACUUGGUAUUCUUACAAAAGAUUCAGAGAAAGUGUUUCUCAAGGG
rnacentral:lncRNA from 1 species